AUUGAACGCUGGCGGCAGGCCUAACACAUGCAAGUCGAACGGUAACAGGAAGAAGCUUGCUUCUUUGCUGACGAGUGGCGGACGGGUGAGUAAUGUCUGGGAAACUGCCUGAUGGAGGGGGAUAACUACUGGAAACGGUAGCUAAUACCGCAUAACGUCGCAAAACCAAAGAGGGGGACCUUCGGACCUCUUGCCAUCGGAUGUGCCCAGAUGGGAUUAGCUAGUAGGUGGGGUAACGGCUCACCUAGGCGACGAUCCCUAGCUGGUCUGAGAGGAUGACCAGCCACACUGGAACUGAGACACGGUCCAGACUCCUACGGGAGGCAGCAGUGGGGAAUAUUGCACAAUGGGCGCAAGCCUGAUGCAGCCAUGCCGCGUGUAUGAAGAAGGCCUUCGGGUUGUAAAGUACUUUCAGCGGGGAGGAAGGGAGUAAAGUUAAUACCUUUGCUCAUUGACGUUACCCGCAGAAGAAGCACCGGCUAACUCCGUG
rnacentral:rRNA from 1 species